CUCAUAUUCUGCUACAAUAAGCCCCUCCUCCUCUGGACUGUGUAUCUCUGACUCCGCCCCCUCUUUGCUGAGCUGCAGUAAUUUCACAGCCUCAUCUUCUUCACUGGCCUGUUAAAGGACCAUAAUAAAAACCCCUGCUUAGAAACACAUGACUUGAUGAUCUGAGGAACUGUAAGAGCAUCACACUUCUUCUCCGGUCCAUCCAGAAGUCUAGCAGCCUCCUGUUUCUUCUGCUCCUCAUAGUCUCUCAGCCAUGUCAGGGCACCACAUAUAAGACUCAGAGACUUUCCC